UAUAUCAAUUUAAACUACUUUACUUAUACCUGAUAGUAUUCUUAUGGAAUUCGUGUCUACUCAAGUAAGAUGGAACGUCUUAUAAAUUGAAAACGAGGCAGAAUCUCCUGCAAUUGAUACUAGAGCAGCUCACUAUGCAAAGAAUACAUUUGAUGCCAUUUAUUUGAACGGCUUAACACCAAUUCCCUUCAGUAGAGCGAGUGUUAUUUCGGCCCAGGCCACAAUUUCUAAAUAUGGGAGAUGUCUGAAUUUCUGGAAAAAGAACGGUACCAAAGUGAUAUCGGUAUUCAUGGGUCGGACAACUUAAGACUAUUAUGGAAGCAUCUUUUCUUGGAUAAAAGCACCAUCAGCAAUACGGUCUUCUCGGUUCCAUUUACAAAUCAUCAAUAUUUACCAAUUCCCUUACGAUAAUUUGAAGCAUCACAUUCUCAGGACCUGAUGUCGACAUGUUUUAACCGAAGUGAUCACGGCACAAGAUACCAUUCGUAGCUUUCAACUUUGCAAUUCGGAGUCUUUUCAAUGGAACUAUGAAUGGAGAUCCAAUUUAUGCAGUUGAGUUUGUAAAAUUCAUUUUGGCGUCAACUGAAUUGAUAUUAGUACCAAAAAAAUAAUACAUAAAUGGUCUGCAUAAGGGAUAAUGUGAUUAUGUAUGUAGUCAAUACUUGUGGCUAUCAAUACAUCUCUGAAAUGUCUUAUUCUAUUGUAAGAGCAACAUGCUGAAUAUUUAUUUAUUUUUGGAGAAUUUUUUUUCGAAUUUUGCAAAGUUUGAAGUCUGCUGAAAAUCUAAUUCAAAACCAAUGUUUGGCAAUUCAAUAUUUCAUCUUAAAAUUGUCUGGACUUUUAUUCUUAUACCAACUUUUAAAGGUUUAUUCAUUCCCUUCAAAUGAGAUAUUUACUCCUUAAGAAAUACUUAAAAAAAA